rnacentral:rRNA from 1 species
AUUGAACGCCGGCGGCAGGCUUAACACAUGCAAGUCGAGCGGGGGAAGGUAGCUUGCUACCGGACCUAGCGGCGGACGGGUGAGUAAUGCUUAGGAAUCUGCCUAUUAGUGGGGGACAACAUCUCGAGAGGGAUGCUAAUACCGCAUACGUCCUACGGGAGAAAGCAGGGGAUCUUCGGACCUUGCGCUAAUAGAUGAGCCUAAGUCGGAUUAGCUAGUUGGUGGGGUAAAGGCCUACCAAGGCGACGAUCUGUAGCGGGUCUGAGAGGAUGAACCGCCACACUGGGACUGAGACACGGCCCAGACUCCUACGGGAGGCAGCAGUGGGGAAUAUUGGACAAUGGGGGGAACCCUGAUCCAGCCAUGCCGCGUGUGUGAAGAAGGCCUUAUGGUUGUAAAGCACUUUAAGCGAGGAGGAGGCUACUCUAGUUAAUACCUAGGGAUAGUGGACGUUACUCGCAGAAUAAGCACCGGCUAACUCUGUGCCAGCCGCCGCGGUAA